AAAGUAUCGGAAAUAGCCGGACAGUGGAGAGGAGGAGGACCGAUCCGGCGUGAUGGCAGCAUGAUAGGAGCACUGGCAGUACCUCCAUCCACAGACCACAGGGGAAAGCGACCUCGGAGGCGGCAGCUCUGAGACAAGGAAAGGGUGCCAUUUGCAAGCAGGCCAACGCAAAGGUGUUCGUUAGGUGAUCAGCCCCUCGGCAACAGCUCCGGCAUCCCGCUUCUUGUGGAUGGUUUAUGUAUGAGUUGUAGAUUUCGCCUGUGAAAUCACACGGGACGGGACGAGCUCUUCCUGAGCUCGGCGGCGCAGACCUGAAGCAGAGUUGCUGACCUGCAGGAUCCUUUCGAACCAGCAAUGUGUCG